AGAGUUUGAUUCUGGCUCAGAACGAACGCUGGCGGCGCGUCUUAAACAUGCAAGUCGGACGAGAACCUCAGUGCUUGCACAGAGGGGACAGUGGCGAACGGGUGAGUAACACGUAGGUAAUCUGCCUUUUGGUACGGGACAACUUCGGGAAACCGUAGCUAAUACCGUAUAGUAUGACUGAUUUUAUGAUUAGUUAUUAAAGUUGGGGAUCUUUAGACCUAACGCCAGAAGAUGAGCCUGCGGCCCAUUAGCUAGUUGGUAGGGUAAUGGCCCACCAAGGCAACGAUGGGUAGCCGGCCCGAGAGGGUGAGCGGCCACAUUGGGACUGAGAUACGGCCCAGACUCCUACGGGAGGCAGCAGUUAAGAAUCUUGGACAAUGGACGCAAGUCUGAUCCAGCGACGCCGCGUAGGCGAUGAAGGUCUUCGGAUUGUAAAGUCUAGUAAGUAGAGACGAAUAAGCAAGAGGUAAUAUUUCUUGUGAUGACGGUAUCUACCUAAAGCCACGGCUAAAUACGUGCCAGCAGCCGCGGUAAUACGUAUGUGGCAAGCGUUGUUCGGAAUUAUUGGGCAUAAAGGGCAUCUAGGCGGGGUGUUAAGUCGGAUGUGAAAUCUCAAGGCUCAACCUUGAAACUGCACUCGAUACUGACACUCUUGAGUAAGGGAGAGGAAAGCGGAAUUCCUGGUGUAGCGGUGAAAUGCGUAGAUAUCAGGAAGAACACCGGUGGCGAAGGCGGCUUUCUGGCCUAUUACUGACGCUGAAGUGCGAAAGCGUGGGGAGCGAACGGGAUUAGAUACCCCGGUAGUCCACGCCGUAAACGUUGUAUACUAGGUGUUACCUCCUUGAGGGGUAGUGCCGCCGCAAACGCAUUAAGUAUACCGCCUGGGGAGUACGCCCGCAAGGGUGAAACUCAAAGAAAUUGACGGGGGCCCGCACAAGCGGUGGAGCAUGUGGUUUAAUUCGAUGAUACGCGAAGAACCUUACCUGGGCUUGAACUGCAGUGGACCGGUACAGAGAUGUACCUUUCCUUCGGGACUACUGUAGAGGUGCUGCAUGGUUGUCGUCAGCUCGUGUCGUGAGAUGUUGGGUUAAGUCCCGCAACGAGCGCAACCCCUAUCGUCUGUUGCUACCAGGUAAUGCUGGGCACUCUGACGAAACUGCCGGUGACAAACCGGAGGAAGGUGGGGAUGACGUCAAAUCAUCACGGCCCUUACGUCCAGGGCUACACACGUGCUACAAUGGCCGGUACAAAGGGUUGCGAAAUCGCGAGAUGGAGCUAAUCUCAAAAAACCGGUCUCAGUUCGGAUUGGAGUCUGCAACUCGACUCUAUGAAGUUGGAAUCGCUAGUAAUCGCAGAUCAGCAUGCUGCGGUGAAUACGUUCCCGGGCCUUGUACACACCGCCCGUCACACCACCCGAGUUGGCAGCACCCGAAGUGGCUGAUCUAAUCCCGACUUGUCGGGAAGGAAGGUUACUAAGGUGAGGCUGGUAAGGGGGGUGAAGUCGUAACAAGGU
rnacentral:rRNA from 1 species